rnacentral:rRNA from 1 species
CAGAACGAACGCUGGCGGCAGGCUUAACACAUGCAAGUCGAACGCUCUCUUCGGAGGGAGUGGCAGACGGGUGAGUAACGCGUGGGAAUCUACCUUGUGGUACGGAACAACACAGAGAAAUUUGUACUAGUACCGAAUACGCCCCCUUUUAGAGAUACUGGGGGGGAAAGAUUUAUCGCCAUAGGAUGAGCCCGCGUUUGAUUAGCUAGUUGGUGAGGUAAUGGCUCACCAAGGCGACGAUCAAUAGCUGGUCUGAGAGGAUGAUCAGCCACACUGGGACUGAGACACGGCCCAGACUCCUACGGGAGGCAGCAGUGGGGAAUAUUGGACAAUGGGCGCAAGCCUGAUCCAGCCAUGCCGCGUGAGUGAUGAAGGCCCUAGGGUUGUAAAGCUCUUUCAACGGUGAAGAUAAUGACGGUAACCGUAGAAGAAGCCCCGGCUAACUUCGUGCCAGCAGCCGCGGUAAUACGAAGGGGGCUAGCGUUGUUCGGAAUAACUGGGCGUAAAGCGCACGUAGGCGGAUUGUUAAGUGAGGGGUGAAAUCCCAGGGCUCAACCCUGGAACUGCCUUUCAUACUGGCAAUCUAGAGAUCGAGAGAGGUGAGUGGAAUUCCGAGUGUAGAGGUGGAAUUCGUAGAUAUUCGGAGGAACACCAGUGGCGAAGGCGGCUCACUGGCUCGAUACUGACGCUGAGGUGCGAAAGCGUGGGUAGCAAACAGGAUUAGAUACCCUGGUAGUCCACGCCGUAAACGAUGGAAGCUAGCUGUCGGACAGUUUACUGUUCGGUGGCGCAGCUAACGCAUUAAGC